rnacentral:lncRNA from 1 species
AGUGCGGGCCGUGAGGGGUGUGCGCGCUUGAGCCGGAGCGGGGCUCGCCCCUCGUCGGCUCCCGCCGCCCAGCCGGUGAUCGCUCUCCGGCCGUCCCCGGCACCCUCGGCCCCCCACGGCGGUUGGUCCGGGCGGGGGAAGGAGAAAGUGAGACUCGGUGUCAUCACCAAUCCAUCGCCAGAAGGGGAGGAAACUGGAAUCCAGCAGCGGCGAGCAGCAGCUGGACGGUAACAUCUGGAAAUGGAAAGCCGACCUCCCCCUCCUCCUCCACCUCCUCCUCCUCCUCCUCCUCCUCCUCCUCCUCCUCUCACCCAGGAUCACUUCCAAAACCACUUGGCCUUCAGCCCCUGCCUCGGCCAGAGGUUUCAUUUUUAACUGAAUAUUUACGAAAGCUGAAAGCGUGCGAGGGGGGUGGGGUGGAAAUAGCGGCUGCUUCUUUUCCAAGGAUUUAUUUAAUGGGGAUGUGUUCAAGGCAAGACCGAAUUCAGAAGGAUAUCGACGUCGUGAUCCAGAAGUCCAGAGCUGAGGACUGCCUGUUUGCAGGGCCCGCCUGGCAGGACGACUGAGCAAGUCCUUGGAAAACCAGAGAUAUUAGAGCGGUGAAUCGCGCUGGUCACGUUGGACACCUGCGCGUUAGGAGAUUCUGGAGCCAGAGGGAGAGACCCCAGAAACUCCCCGGUCGGCGACCCAGCCCGAGACGCCUGGGGUCCCAAGGGAAGCUGAACGCCCGGUGGGCUCCCGGGAUGGUUCUUCCGGUUCUUUGUGCCGCCUUCACCCAGUGAAGGAGCCUGUAUCCACCCUGCCCAGUCGCUGUUGGGCUGCUGCGGAGCUUCCGCUGCCAUCUUCGGAUCCUGUGUUCCGCCCGGGGCUCCACCAGGGCAGGGAUGGUGCAGAAUGGGGAAAUGGAGAGAGAACCUGAAAGAGCCCCAAACUCGAGGACCUAUUGCUCCCCAAGAAUAACAUCUUCCAGAACUAGACAGAAAACUAGGCGUCUGGGAACCCUGAAAUCCUUGGAGGAGUAGAUCAUCAUGACCCUCUGUGUUCCUUUUGGCAAAUGACUUGCUUCCAUUGUUUGUUUGUUCAAUUGUCUGUUUGUUAAAUAAAUAAAACCCUUUUCAUGUAUCUUUAAAAUUACAUUGGUUCUAUUAUUUUAUGAUUACAAACGAUGCUGCAGUCAU